rnacentral:rRNA from 1 species
UACGAAGGGGGCUAGCGUUGCUCGGAAUCACUGGGCGUAAAGCGCACGUAGGCGGAUUGCUAAGUCAGGGGUGAAAUCCUGGAGCUCAACUCCAGAACUGCCUUUGAUACUGGCGAUCUCGAGUCCGGGAGAGGUGAGUGGAACUGCGAGUGUAGAGGUGAAAUUCGUAGAUAUUCGCAAGAACACCAGUGGCGAAGGCGGCUCACUGGCCCGGUACUGACGCUGAGGCGGCGAAAAGCGUGGGGAGCAAACAGG